rnacentral:rRNA from 1 species
UACGUAGGGUGCAAGCGUUAAUCGGAAUUACUGGGCGUAAAGCGUGCGCAGGCGGUUCUAUAAGACAGAUGUGAAAUCCCCGGGCUCAACCUGGGAACUGCAUUUGUGACUGUAGAGCUGGAGUACGGGCAGAGGGGGAUGGAAUUCCGGCGUGGUAAGCAGUGAAAUGCGUAGAUAUGCGGAGGAACACCGAUGGCGAAGGCAAUCCCCUGGGCCUGUACUGACGCUCAUGCACGAAAGCGUGGGGAGCAAACAGG